GAGGAAAGCUGGCGGCGUGCCUAAUACAUGCAAGUCGAGCGAACAGACGAGGAGCUUGCUCCUCUGACGUUAGCGGCGGACGGGUGAGUAACACGUGGAUAACCUACCUAUAAGACUGGGAUAACUUCGGGAAACCGGAGCUAAUACCGGAUAAUAUAUUGAACCGCAUGGUUCAAUAGUGAAAGACGGUUUUGCUGUCACUUAUAGAUGGAUCCGCGCCGCAUUAGCUAGUUGGUAAGGUAACGGCUUACCAAGGCGACGAUGCGUAGCCGACCUGAGAGGGUGAUCGGCCACACUGGAACUGAGACACGGUCCAGACUCCUACGGGAGGCAGCAGUAGGGAAUCUUCCGCAAUGGGCGAAAGCCUGACGGAGCAACGCCGCGUGAGUGAUGAAGGUCUUCGGAUCGUAAAACUCUGUUAUUAGGGAAGAACAAAUGUGUAAGUAACUAUGCACGUCUUGACGGUACCUAAUCAGAAAGCCACGGCUAACUACGUG
rnacentral:rRNA from 1 species